rnacentral:rRNA from 1 species
CAGUCGAACGGACUCAUAUUGAAACCUAGUGAUUUAUGAGUUAGUGGCGGACGGGUGAGUAACGCGUGGAUAACCUGCCGUAUACCGGGGGAUAACACUUAGAAAUAGGUGCUAAUACCGCAUAAGCGCACGGCUCCGCAUGGGGCAGUGUGAAAAACUCCGGUGGUAUACGAUGGAUCCGCGUCUGAUUAGCUAGUUGGCGGGGUAACGGCCCACCAAGGCAGCGAUCAGUAGCCGGCCUGAGAGGGUGGACGGCCACAUUGGGACUGAGACACGGCCCAAACUCCUACGGGAGGCAGCAGUGGGGAAUAUUGCACAAUGGGGGAAACCCUGAUGCAGCGACGCCGCGUGAGUGAAGAAGUAUCUCGGUACGUAAAGCUCUAUCAGCAGGGAAGAAAAUGACGGUACCUGACCAAGAAGCCCCGGCUAACUACGUGCCAGCAGCCGCGGUAAUACGUAGGGGGCAAGCGUUAUCCGGAUUUACUGGGUGUAAAGGGAGCGUAGACGGCAGCACAAGUCUGGAGUGAAAUCCCGGGGCUUAACCCCGGAACUGCUUUGGAAACUGUGCGGCUGGAGUGCAGGAGGGGUAAGCGGAAUUCCUAGUGUAGCGGUGAAAUGCGUAGAUAUUAGGAGGAACACCGGUGGCGAAGGCGGCUUACUGGACUGUAACUGACGCUGAGGCUCGAAAGCGUGGGGAGCAAACAGGAUUAGAUACCCUGGUAGUCCACGCUGUAAACGAUGAUUACUAGGUGUGGGGGGAUUGAACCCUUCCGUGCCGGAGUUAACACAAUAAGUAAUCCACCUGGGGAGUACGACCGCA